ensembl:lncRNA
UGUGAGGACGUGUAAUGUCAACUCAGCCCAUUUCUGGUAUGUAAUAAGCUCCUUUGGUCUGUGUAUUUACAUAAAGUAUAGCAAAAUAUACAUACCCAACUCAAUGACUUCUGUAAGGGUGGAUUCAGUUACACUGCACUUGAAUAAUGCUAUUCAUUCUUAAAGAGAGAAGUGUGUUGAUUUUAGGUCACCUAUAGAGGGCGACAAUGGUACAGGAUGGACUUUUGGCAGUGUUUUGGGUAAAAGCGCUUCCAAAACUCUUGCCACCAACAAUUGUUUCCAGUGAAAAUAAACCAUUCUCCAUAGGAAUGCAGCAAUGAAACCAUCCUGCUCUAUCAUCCACAGGCCGAGCUGGGGCCCCGUCUAUCUGUCUGUCUGUAGAGCUGUGGCCAGGUGCUGAUGUGUCAGAUGACACAGUUGUUUCCCUUUAAAAAGACCCAGAUUUCCUCUCUGGACCUGAAAAACAUAAUAUCUGCAGUUGAUUUCCGGAUUCAGAUGGAGCCCAAGGUGCUGCACCCUCAAGUCUCGGUGAUGUUCUGGUUUCUAGACAGGACACAGGUCCAUCCAUCACCUUUUUUUUUCUUUCACAAGAGCUGAAAUCGCUACCAGAUGUGGAUGCAAUCUGUCCCUGUUGCCAUGGCGACGGCUGGGUUGUGAACAGGCGUGUAGCCGCGGGUCGGUUGUCCUGCCGCUUGAUUAUGCUCCAGGUUUUUGAGAGGUAUGUUUAGACUGGCACUCCAUUUGUCAUAUCGCCUCCUCUGAAAUAUCAAUUUGUCUCUCCAACCGCAGAUGAUGGUCAUAAAACCAUAUUUUGGGAGUUUUUUUCCCCUAGAAAUCUAGCUUCUGAAAUACUUGUUUUGUGAAUACUUUCUACAUUUUAUUUAUAUAUUUUUUAUUUUUCUGGAAGAAUCGCAGCCUAAAUGACUUUUCCAGCACUGGAGUGCUGUUUCAAUUGUCUCGUACCUCUACUGUGCCUAAUUUUACUGGGAAAAUGAUAUUGGAAGUAGUAUGUACGUCUCCUUAUUACUGUAAUGUAGACAAAAUAAUGGUAUAUUGCUUAAAUGUAUAAAUACUUAUAAUUAUUAUUUUUUUUAUUCUUCCUUAGAAUUCAUGUUGAUUUUAAAUAAAAAUUUAUGUAGUUCAGUAUUUUUGGAGAAU